UCCAACGUUGUUGAAUCUGG
rnacentral:misc_RNA from 1 species